UACGUAGGGGGCAAGCGUUGUCCGGAAUCAUUGGGCGUAAAGGGCUCGUAGGCGGCCAACUAAGUCGGACGUGAAAUCCCUCGGCUUAACCGGGGAACUGCGUCCGAUACUGGAUGGCUUGAGUUCGGGAGAGGGAUGCGGAAUUCCAGGUGUAGCGGUGAAAUGCGUAGAUAUCAGGAGGAACACCGGUGGCGAAGGCGGGUCUCUGGGCCGAUACUGACGCUGAGGAGCGAAAGUGUGGGGAGCGAACAGG
rnacentral:rRNA from 1 species